AACGAACGCUGGCGGCAGGCCUAACACAUGCAAGUCGAACGCUCCGCAAGGGGAGUGGCAGACGGGUGAGUAACACGUGGGAAUCUUCCUGUUGGUUCGGAAUAGCUCAGGGAAACUUGGGGUAAUACCGGAUAAGCCCGUAAGGGGAAAGAUUUAUCGCCGACAGAUGAGCCCGCGUCUGAUUAGCUAGUUGGUGAGGUAACGGCUCACCAAGGCGACGAUCAGUAGCUGGUCUGAGAGGAUGACCAGCCACACUGGGACUGAGACACGGCCCAGACUCCUACGGGAGGCAGCAGUGGGGAAUAUUGGACAAUGGGCGCAAGCCUGAUCCAGCCAUGCCGCGUGAGUGACGAAGGUCUUCGGAUUGUAAAGCUCUUUUGGCGGGGACGAUAAUGACGGUACCCGCAGAAUAAGCCCCGGCUAACUUCGUGCCAGCCGCCGCGGUAAUAC
rnacentral:rRNA from 1 species